rnacentral:rRNA from 1 species
UACGGAGGGUGCGAGCGUUGUCCGGAAUUAUUGGGCGUAAAGCGCGCGUAGGCGGCCACUUAAGUCGGAUGUGAAAGCCCUUGGCUCAACUGAGGAAGUGCACCCGAAACUGAAUGGCUUGAGUACUAAAGAGGGUCGCGGAAUUCCCGGUGUAGAGGUGAAAUUCGUAGAUAUCGGGAGGAACACCGGUGGCGAAGGCGGCGACCUGGGUAGAUACUGACGCUGAGGCGCGAAAGCGUGGGGAGCAAACAGG